CCGAGUUUACAACUCCCAAACCCAAUGCUGAACGUUACCAAACUGUUGCCUCGGCGGGAUCUCUGCCCCGGGUGCGUCGCGGCCCCGGACCAAGGCGCCCGCCGGAGGACCAACCAAAACUCUUAUUGUAUACCCCCUCGCGGGUUUUUUAUAAUCUGAGCCUUCUCGGCGCCUCUCGUAGGCGUUUCGAAAAUGAAUCA
rnacentral:misc_RNA from 1 species